rnacentral:rRNA from 1 species
GACAGAGGGGGCAAGCGUUGCUCGGAAUCACUGGGCGUAAAGGGCGCGUAGGCGGGAUGGCAAGUCAGUCGUGAAAUCUCUCGGCUCAACCGAGAAACGUCGGCUGAUACUGCCGUUCUUGAGGGAUGCAGAGGAGACUGGAAUUCCCGGUGUAGCGGUGAAAUGUGUAGAGAUCGGGAGGAACACCGGUGGCGAAGGCGGCGACCUGGACAGGUACUGGCACUCAACUACGAAAGCGUGGGGAGCAAACAGG